AGUCUGCCAUUUCGCUGGGAAAUCGAGUGCAUGAGUUACUGCAUUGAGUAAACCUUCACAUUAUUCAUCGGCCAGAACAGACCAUUUAUUCCCAGGGCACAAAGCUCAUAGUGAAUACGAAUGAGUGGAAGUCAACCCUGUGAGGGCUAAAGAUUAACUCCUCUAAGGCUCAGUGGUGUCUAAAUGCAAAUAUUAGUGCAUUACUCAGAGGUUCAGCCUGGUCAUCUAAGGGAAGAAGGACUCACCUAUCAAAGGAGUGAUGGCAGAAGUGAACACCGAACUGCUCUGAACAACAAAGGUCAUGCCAGCACCAACCAGAAUGGCCAGGUAGCCAGUCAACCAUCCAAACGGAAAAGGAAAGUCUGCAGGAAAGUGUUUUGUUUACAUCUCCUGAAAAUGCUGUAAAAAUUCCAAUAUAAUUGAGGGUCUUUUCGGGAUUCCUCAAACUGAAA